rnacentral:tRNA from 2 species
GGGGGAAUAGUUUAAUGGUAGAACAGCGGCUUCCAACCCCGCUGGCGUGGGUUCAAUUCCUGCUUCCCCUGCCA